rnacentral:rRNA from 1 species
UAGGGAAUCUUCCACAAUGGACGCAAGUCUGAUGGAGCAACGCCGCGUGAGUGAAGAAGGUUUUCGGAUCGUAAAGCUCUGUUGGUGAAGAAGGAUAGAGGCAGUAACUGGUCUUUAUUUGACGGUAAUCAACCAGAAAGUCACGGCUAACUACGUGCCAGCAGCCGCGGUAAUACGUAGGUGGCAAGCGUUGUCCGGAUUUAUUGGGCGUAAAGCGAGCGCAGGCGGAAUGAUAAGUCUGAUGUGAAAGCCCACGGCUCAACCGUGGAACUGCAUCGGAAACUGUCAUUCUUGAGUGCAGAAGAGGAGAGUGGAAUUCCAUGUGUAGCGGUGGAAUGCGUAGAUAUAUGGAAGAACACCAGUGGCGAAGGCGGCUCUCUGGUCUGCAACUGACGCUGAGGCUCGAAAGCAUGGGUAGCGAACAGG